rnacentral:rRNA from 1 species
UACAGAGGGUGCAAGCGUUGUUCGGAAUUAUUGGGCGUAAAGGGCGCGUAGGCGGUGCUGUAAGUCUGUAGUGAAAUCUCUGGGCUCAACUCAGAGUCUGCUAUAGAAACUGCAGUGCUGGAGUGUGGGAGAGGUGAGUGGAAUUCCCGGUGUAGCGGUGAAAUUCGUAGAUAUUCGGAAGAACACCAGUGGCGAAGGCGACUCGCUGGACAAGUAUUGACGCUGAGGUGCGAAAGCGUGGGGAGCAAACAGG